GGCUGUUGGGAAAAUAAAUGAGAGGGAAGGCAUAAUAUUCAAAUGGCUACUUCCCAUCAUUUAUUUUUAUAGUGAGAACUGGAUUCAUUGAAUGAAAAAUCUACCUCUAAUGAAAUUCGAGGAAAUGAGUGUUUCGUAUUAGAAGCAAAUAUUGUCGCCAAUCUGUCUCAGGAAGAGCAGAACGUUUACGAGUAGCGCAUGUGCGUUAGAGUCUUUCUCUAAAUGCCUCGUUAUAAGAACCAAUCUGAACGUAAUAAACUGACCUCGAUUUAUCCAUUUUUAAGCUGAUGUAGCUUGAUGCAAGAGUCUUGCAGCUCCA